rnacentral:rRNA from 1 species
UACGGAGGGUGCAAGCGUUAUCCGGAUUUACUGGGUUUAAAGGGUGCGUAGGUGGGUCUGUAAGUCAGUGGUGAAAUCUCCGAGCUUAACUCGGAAACUGCCAUUGAUACUAUAGGUCUUGAAUUAUCUGGAGGUAAGCGGAAUAUGUCAUGUAGCGGUGAAAUGCUUAGAUAUGACAUAGAACACCAAUUGCGAAAGGCAGCUUACUACGGAUAUAUUGACACUGAGGCACGAAAGCGUGGGGAUCAAACAGG